GCGCCCAUAGCUCAGCUGGAUAGAGCAACAGCCUUCUAAGCUGUGGGUCGUAGGUUCAAAUCCUACUGGGCGCA
rnacentral:tRNA from 3 species